UACGUAGGGGGCAAGCGUUGUUCGGAAUUACUGGGCGUAAAGGGCGCGUAGGCGGCACUGUUAGUCAGGCGUGAAAGUCCUGGGCUCAACCUGGGAACUGCGCUUGAUACGGCAGAGCUAGAGGAUGGAAGAGGGUCGCGGAAUUCCCAGUGUAGAGGUGAAAUUCGUAGAUAUUGGGAAGAACACCGGUGGCGAAGGCGGCGACCUGGUCCAUUACUGACGCUGAGGCGCGACAGCGUGGGGAGCAAACAGG
rnacentral:rRNA from 1 species